GCCAGCCACCAGGUCAGACAUGCUGAAUCUUUUCUGGUGGAUCCAUGCAUGAAGGAGACGGUGCCAAGGAGGCGUGGCCUAACCAGUGAGGAUAGCAGAUUCACCAUCAGGAGGACAACAGGGAGCAGAAACACUCAUGGUGGCAUUUACCGCCACAGGCAUCAAGCAGGCCUGAGGUCUGAGACAGUGGACUGCACCCAGCCCUCCACCGCUAGCCUGCACCUGCUCGACAAACCAGUGAGAGACAAUAACCUGUGGAGGAAACCGGAAGUACUACUGUGGCUGGGGGAA